AGAGUUUGAUCAUGGCUCAGAUUGAACGCUGGCGGCAUGCCUUACACAUGCAAGUCGAACGGCAGCGCGGGGCAACCUGGCGGCGAGUGGCGAACGGGUGAGUAACAUAUCGGAACAUACCCUAGAGUGGGGAUAUCGUAGCGAAAGUUACGCUAAUACCGCAUACGCACUAAGGUGGAAAGUGGGGGAUCUUCGGACCUCAUGCUCAUGGAGUGGCCGAUAUCUGAUUAGCUAGUUGGUGAGGUAAAGGCUCACCAAGGCGACGAUCAGUAGCUGGUUUGAGAGAACGACCUGCCACACUGGAACUGAGACACGGUCCAGACUCCUACGGGAGGCAGCAGUGGGGAAUUUUGGACAAUGGGGGCAACCCUGAUCCAGCAAUGCCGCGUGAGUGAAGAAGGCCUUCGGGUUGUAAAGCUCUUUUGUCAGGGAAGAAACGGUGAGUUCUAAUAAAGCUUGCUAAUGACGGUACCUGAAGAAUAAGCACCGGCUAACUACGUG
rnacentral:rRNA from 1 species